GAUGAACGCUGGCGGCGUGCCUAAUACAUGCAAGUCGAGCGAACGGACGAGAAGCUUGCUUCUCUGAUGUUAGCGGCGGACGGGUGAGUAACACGUGGAUAACCUACCUAUAAGACUGGGAUAACUUCGGGAAACCGGAGCUAAUACCGGAUGAUAUUUUGAACCGCAUGGUUCAAAAGUGAAAGACGGUCUUGCUGUCACUUAUAGAUGGAUCCGCGCUGCAUUAGCUAGUUGGUAAGGUAAUGGCUUACCAAGGCAACGAUGCAUAGCCGACCUGAGAGGGUGAUGGCCCACACGGGAACUGAGACGGGGUCCAGCCUCCGGCGGGAGGCAGCAGAAGGGAAUCUUCCGAAAUGGGAGAAAGCCGGAGGGAGCAACGCGGCGGGGGAAAUGAGGGUCUUGGAAUCGAAAAACUCUUUUAUGAGGGAAAAAAAUAUGUGAAAGUAACUGUGCACUUCUGAACGGAACAAAAAAAAAAACCCACGGCAAACUAGGGG
rnacentral:rRNA from 1 species